ACCUUCGUAGCUCAAUUGGUUAGCAGCGUGUGACUUUUAAAUAGGCUUGUCCCUUAAGAGAUCACAAGGCUGGGGGUUCGAGUCCCCCCGAAGGUG